rnacentral:rRNA from 1 species
GAUGAACGCUGGCGGCGUGCCUAAUACAUGCAAGUCGAGCGAACGGACGCGACGCUUGCUUCUCUGAUGUUAGCGGCGGACGGGUGAGUCACACGUGGAUAACCUACCUAUAUGACUGGGAUCACUUCGGGAAACCGGAGCUCAUGCCGGAUACUAUUUUGACCCGCAUGGUUCUAAAGUGAAAGACGGUCUUGCUGUCACUUCUCGAUGGAUCCGCGCUGCAUUAGCUAGUUGGUAAGGUAACGGCCUACCAAGGAAACGAUGCAUGACCGACCUGAGAGGGGGAUCGGCCACACUGGAGCUGGAACGCGGUCCAGGGUCCUGCGAGAGGCAGCAGUAGGGAAUGUGCCGCAGUAGGCGGGAACCUGACGGAACGACGGCGCGUGAGAGAUAGAGGUGUUGGGAUCGUGAAACUCUGUUAUGAGGGAAAAACAUAUGUGUAAGGAACAGUGCACAACGUGACGGUACCUAAACAGAAAGCCACGGCUAACUACGUG